rnacentral:rRNA from 1 species
GAUGAACGCUGGCGGCGUGCUUAACACAUGCAAGUCGAACGAAGCAUUUGCGACAGAUUUUUUCGGACUGAAGUUGCUUAUGACUGAGUGGCGGACGGGUGAGUAACGCGUGGGUAACCUGCCUUGUACUGGGGGAUAGCAGCUGGAAACGGCUGGUAAUACCGCAUAAGCGCACAAUGUUGCAUGACAUGGUGUGAAAAACUCCGGUGGUAUAAGAUGGACCCGCGUCUGAUUAGCUAGUUGGUGAGAUAACAGCCCACCAAGGCGACGAUCAGUAGCCGAACUGAGAGGGGGAAAGGCCACAAUGGGAAUGAGACACGGCCCAGACUCAUACGGGAGGGAGGAGUAGGGAAUAUUGCACAAUGGAGGAAACUCUGAUGCAGCGACGCGGAGGAAGUGAAGAAGUAAUUCGUUAUGUAAAGCUAUAUCAGAAGGGAAGAUAGUGACGGUACCUGACUAAGAAGCACCGGCUAAAUACGUG